rnacentral:rRNA from 1 species
CAGUCGCCGCGGGAAUACGUAGGGUGCAAGCGUUAAUUGGAAUUACUGGGCGUGAAGCGUGCGCAGGCGGUUAUAUAAGUCAGAUGUGAAAUCCCCGGGCUCAACCUGGGAACUGCAUUUGAGACUGUAUGGCUAGAGUGCGUCAGAGGGGGGUAGAAUUCCACGUGUAGCAGUGAAAUGCGUAGAUAUGCGGAGGAAUACCGAUGGCGAAGGCAGCCCCCUGGGAUAACACUGACGCUCAUGCACGAAAGCGUGGGGAGCAAACAGGAUUAGAUACCCCCGUAGUCCCUGUCUCUUAUCC